UUCCUAAUGAUCUAUUUUUAGCCUUACAGACAUGUUGAUAAUAUUGUGUUUGAAAAUUCAUCAAUCGUGGAUAGAUUUUUGAACUACUGGCGCAUCACAAGCCAUCAACGAAUUGGAAUCUUGUAUGGCUAUUAUAAACCUCACAAAGAUGUACCCUUAGGCAUCCGAGCCAUCGUCACUGCCAUCUAUGAGCCACCUCAAGAUGGUUCUCGAGACAUGUUGAGGCUUCUACCAGACGAGAAAGCCGAAGUUAUUGAUAAAAUCGCUACACAGCUAGGAUUGCAAAAAGUCGGAUGGAUUUUUACAGAUUUGAUAGCCGAACAAAAUGGAACUGUGAAACAUAUUAGGAAUAUUAAUUCUCACUUUUUGUCUGCUCAAGAGUGUAUAAUGGCUGGCCAUUUUCAGAACUUAAAUCCGAAUCCUUGCAAGUUAUCUCCCGAGGGGUAUUUCGGUUC